AUACGCGGCAAUUCUUAAGUGGCAGCAGAGUGGUCUCCGUGGGCCUGUGCAGCUGCACAAGGCCUUAUGCUCUGCAGAGCUCCACGCUGGGUUAAAUGCUUUAUUGUCAUCAUGAAAUUCUUAUUAAUUUUUGCAAAAGGGGGAAAUUUUUCAUUUUCACUGGGCUAUGCCAGUUAUGUCACCAGUCCUGAAGACAUGGGCAGCUCUUAGGAGCCCUACUCUGGGAACUUUCCCCAUUGAGGCUAUAAUCUAGCACUACCAUUUUCGGAAGUAACAUCUUAUGAGUUGGACAUUUUUCAAUAUUCCAGAAGUGUUUGCUAAUCAGAUUUUCUCUACUAAUUUUCUCUACUACAACUCAGUAGAACUGAGCUGUAGAAGUCAUCCACUUUGCUUCUGAAAUCCCAAUCCUGUGACAUGUUUUCCUAUAUUCAAGCCACCCACCACUCGCUGUGAAACACCGACUUUCUGAUGGAAAACUGGGGGCUGUCCUUUGCGGAUGGGUCUACUGAUUGUACCAACUGGAUCUUGAAUGCUUUACCUACAAUUUCAAGUUUCGGGUUCUUUAACAUGGAAUGAGAACCAAAAGUCACUUGCCAAAAAGCAGUCUAAAUGCAGAAGCCUUCUAGAGUUUUCUUCCUUCCACCUUUCACAGUUGUCUCAUUCACCUCAACUUCAAUACCACAAAGGUUUUAGCAAUUCAUUCCCCGAAUCAUCCCAAUAUUCAAUAGUUUUCACAGAAAUAAUCAUGAUUAUCAAACCCAUUUUUUUUCUUGACAGUUAACAUAAUAGUUAACGUUUUAAAUGACAAGAUCAGCUCACACUCACAGAAUUGGGAGCACCCAUGGACUUUAGAUAACAUGGCCAUUCAGCAGGUGGGAGCAGAAGGGUCUGGGUAUUCUAGAGUGACUCACGAGUUGUGAAUAAUCAGUGUGCUAUGGGCUUCAGUCAGCUUCCUGGGUGGGUGUGGGUUAAUCUGUGGGUUGAGUGGAGACAGUUUGAGUACCUACUGCAAUAAUAACAGUAACAGAAGCAACACUCUCCAUGCAGAAUUGACUAAGCACUGUCUCCAGGCCAGGUUGGCUGCAUCACAAACACCAGCUUGCAGGUGCUCUGCAUGUGAGCAUGCCAGGUUUCUCUGGUUGGGAUUUUUCCCCUCUACUGACUGACACUGUUUCAAGAAUGAAAACUGCUGAACAGCUUUCUUUUCCCAUGGUGUAUCAUAAUCCAGAUUCACCGGAAAGCAAACUAAUGACAUCAAUGUCAUCGUGGUGUUUCAGUCUCUGAAGAGCAGAGGUGAAUAAGUGGUGACUAGAGGGAUGGAGGUCUUAAUGGCUGCCUGAAUUCAGGAAGGGCAGAAAUGUGGGGCAGAGGAGAGAACAGGGGUCUAGAAGCUCUUGGGUCUUGUCCUGAGACUUGGCCCUCACUAGUGGUGAGAGUUUGGGACAAACCACCUAGCUCUCCCGAUCUGAAUCAAGCUGUGUUGGCCUGGCGGUGUGCAACUGCGCAGAGCAAGCACAUGUUAAUAAUACACAUUUGUUAAAUAAAUGAACAAAUGAGCACAUAAAUAUCCAGUAGGACAGCAUAAGGGUCAAACAAGACGAUAGAUUUGAAACUGCUAGGGAAAUAGCAAAGAAGCAGUCACAGGUGCAAAGGUGGCAUUCCUCCUCCCUGAAGGUAAUAUCAGUGCUCACGGAACUCCCAAGGACACAGAGAUUCAUGAAAUACACUGAAUAGUAGUAUUAUCUUUCCAUCCCUGUCUUGCUAGAGGAUCUCAAUGUGUCUUGAAGACUGAAAGGGCACUUUCUCUGGAAAUCUAACCAACUUCUGUUUGCUCUGCCGAAGUCCUCAAUCAUUAUGAUUGUCUUCAGUUAGAACACUCAUCUAUAUAAUUCUACACUAAACCCCACAGUCUCAUUUCUCAUCACGCAAGUCUGCUGUGAGUUGAAUGUAGCACCAGAGUAGAUCGAGGCUUAGAAUUAGUUGGUAAUAUCCUUAUCUAAUAAGAUACCUCAGUCCUGAACUGUCCUUGCUAAAAGUAAGAAUUCCUUAACAUUUGCUUUCUGUAUUGCAGAACAGAUUAGUUGUUCACAUCAGAGUUCACAUCUGAUCUGCGAUGGUGACAUCAAUAGGUCACUGUGUUGGCAGCUGUAUAAUCAGAUUCAGGGCCAAUGAACCAUAUCUGCCUUUAUGAGAUUUAGCUGAAAGUGAUAUGCAAGGUGGUAAAUGGCAUUCUAACAAGAGUGUGAAGAAAGAGCGAGAAGGCUGUCCUCUGCUGGAGGGGAAGAAAGGAGAGGAGGCUUUUUCAAGUCUCUGUGGUUCAGUGGACCUUCAAUAAAGGUUUAAUUGAAAAACAAAUAGGUAUUCAGUGUUCAUCAAGAAUUGUUUGCAGCCA